GCCGAGAUAACUCAGUUGGUAGAGUGCAUCCCUGAAGAGGAUGAAGUCGCCGGUUCGAGCCCGGCUCUCGGCA
rnacentral:tRNA from 1 species